AACGAACGCUGGCGGCAGGCUUAACACAUGCAAGUCGAGCGCCCCGCAAGGGGAGCGGCAGACGGGUGAGUAACGCGUGGGAAUCUACCCAUCUCUACGGAAUAACGCAUGGAAACGUGUGCUAAUACCGUAUACGUCCUUCGGGAGAAAGAUUUAUCGGAGAUGGAUGAGCCCGCUGUGGAUUAGCUAGUUGGUGGGGUAAAGGCCUACCAAGGCGACGAUCCAUAGCUGGUCUGAGAGGAUGAUCAGCCACACUGGGACUGAGACACGGCCCAGACUCCUACGGGAGGCAGCAGUGGGGAAUAUUGGACAAUGGGCGCAAGCCUGAUCCAGCCAUGCCGCGUGAGUGAUGAAGGCCCUAGGGUUGUAAAGCUCUUUCACCGGUGAAGAUAAUGACGGUAACCGGAGAAGAAGCCCCGGCUAACUUCGUGCCAGCCGCCGCGGUAAUAC
rnacentral:rRNA from 1 species